rnacentral:piRNA from 1 species
AUGCGGGUAGCGUGGCCGAGCGGUCUAA